AUACUAGGCUAGGACAAGGGGUAGAGGCAGAGAGAGAGAGAGGAGCCACCCUGAGAAGGAAGAGACCAGGGAGACCCUUUCUAUGUCGGUGCCUUGACAUGUGGCACUUUGUGCUCCAGGAUCGCCCCCAGAGGAACUGCUAUCACUUUCAAAUGACCUCGUCUUUUCUAGGGCCUUCCGAACUGAUCAUCUCUCCCUUCUGAUACAAGACGGUCUUCCCUGGAAGACCACUGCACACCUUCUAGUAACACUGGGACCCUGGAUAAUAUUCUACUUUGAAGAACACCAAUAGACAGAAGCAAGAGGACUACUUUUUAAUGCUAAAGUAUGCAAAACCUGCCACUUCACUGGCAAGCCAUGAAUUAUUCAUAAAUAUAGACUUGGUUAAUAUCUUUAAACAUGCA